rnacentral:lncRNA from 1 species
UUUGAACAUGUUAUAUGCUAAGAACUCCCAUCUGUAGUAAAUGGUGCUGAGGAGCUUGGAAUGGCGUUACCACAAGUUCUGAGCCCAGCUCUUAAGAUCACUGAGCCCCAUUCACCAACUAACAUCCUAGUAUCCUUACCUCAACAGCUGCCAGAACCUCCUCCCUUGGCUUUUCACAGUGUUUGCUGGCUUAUUCAGGAGAUUGGGGUUGAGUGCCUAGGGUAAAUACCUUAGAGAUACUGAGUGUAAUAUAGGCAAAGAAUUCCAGUUGUUGAUAUCUUUCUUGACAGCUGAUCAGCUAAACAACAGAGGUGAAUGCAAGGGGAGAUGAAGGAUUGGGUUGGAGCGCACAGGAGACAAGCCAAGAAACUCUUCAUCUGCAUAUACGAAGGUGACAAUAUAAGAUGCUGGAAAGUAUUCCCUGCACCUCCACUGUGCUGUGGGGUAGGAGGAUGGUGUCUGACACGGCAUGUACAGAGACAUGUUGAAUCUCACUCAUGUUUCACUUCACACAAUGCAAACAUCACAAGAAGGAAACUUAGCUGCCUGGCUCUGUACUUGUAUUACCUAUAAGAAAUUUGUGUAGUCUUAGACUCAGCACCAAACUCCAACUCAAAAGGGAGUUACAUCUUGUUACAUCUUGGGGGAUUCUCCUUCACCCUCUCAGGAGAAUAAAUGUUGAAAAUUCUUGGUGUUAUAUCUGUGU